GGCUUCGGUCUAAGUUGAGUGGCGAACGGGUGAGUAACACGUGGGUGACCUACCUUCGAGUGGGGGAUAACGUCCCGAAAGGGACGCUAAUACCGCAUAACAUCCUGCCUUUGAACAGGUGGAGAUCAAAGCCGGGGAUCGCAAGACCUGGCGCUUGAUGAGGGGCCCGCGCCUGAUUAGCUAGUUGGUGAGGUAACGGCUCACCAAGGCGACGAUCAGUAUCCGGCCUGAGAGGGCGGACGGACACACUGGGACUGAGACACGGCCCAGACUCCUACGGGAGGCAGCAGUGGGGAAUUGUUCGCAAUGGGCGCAAGCCUGACGACGCAACGCCGCGUGGAGGAUGAAGGUCUUCGGAUUGUAAACUCCUGUUGCUCGGGACGAACAGCUCCGACCUAAUACGUCGGAGUCUGACGGUACCGAGUGAGGAAGCCCCGGCUAACUCUGUGCCAGCAUCCGCGGUAAUACAGAGGGGGCAAGCGUUGUUCGGAAUUACUGGGCGUAAAGGGCGCGUAGGCGGCCUGCUAAGUCGAACGUGAAAUCCCUGGGCUCAACCCAGGAACUGCGUCCGAUACUGGUUGGCUUGAAUCCGGGAGAGGGAUGUGGAAUUCCAGGUGUAGCGGUGAAAUGCGUAGAUAUCUGGAGGAACACCGGUGGCGAAGGCGACAUCCUGGACCGGCAUUGACGCUGAGGCGCGAAAGCCAGGGGAGCAAACGGGAUUAGAUACCCCGGUAGUCCUGGCCCUAAACGAUGAAUGCUUGGUGUGGCGGGUAUCGAUCCCUGCCGUGCCGAAGCUAACGCA
rnacentral:rRNA from 1 species